rnacentral:ribozyme from 12 species
AAGCCUGCAAAGAACCCAGAAACGCAGCCAGCCUGGACACUACUUGCUCGCAUGCUCUGGGCAAGCUCGGCGAGGGAAACUCAAAAAGUGGUUGGGGUUCAAGCAUAUCUGA